rnacentral:misc_RNA from 1 species
CCGCACGCCAACGCCGAGAAUGUCUGCGACGGCCGAGUCGUCCGCAGUCGGCUCCAGCUUCUUCCUCGGCAUGAACCCGUCGCCACAAGCGUUCGCCAAGUAUGCCAAGAAGCACAACAUCUUUCUUCAUCCGGAUGUAGCGUUUCUGGUCCCAACCAAGACGAUGGGCAUGGGCGUGUUUGCCGCCCGCCCGCUUCACGCCGGCACGGUGGUGAUUAGCUGUCCCGAGACCUCCGGGGUAUCCCCAUACAUGAAGGAAGUGCCCACCUCGCCCUGUGUGGCCGCCCUGCACGCGAGUCCGACUGCCAUGGAGGACGCAGCGCUUUUUGAUGCCCUGGUGCUCAUGGCGGAGCUAGGCCGAGAAAACUCGCCGUGGCGGCCGUGGCUGGAGGUCUGCCCACGCAUGGCGCAUCACUUCUUCGACCUAUCCUCCGCUCAAGCGGCUGUGCUAGGCACGGAGAGUGUGAUGGGGGGUUGGACGGGUGCUAAUUUGGAGGCACCUCGCACAGUCGAGGACACCACCGUCGUUGCCUCGGCAACGUUGGGGUUGGCUGGUGUCACUGGCGUGGCGCAGGCACUCGGCGAGCUGCGUGUGAUGCAGCGGUGGGCUACUGCUCAGGCUAUCAUGGCGGCCUUACCGGACGUAUGGCCCGCCGACAAAGCCUCCUUCGGCCUCUUUUCCGAGGCGCUCUCGCAGGUGUUCUCCCGCAACUUUCACCGCGAGGAUCUUCCGGGGCGAGAAGGCCCCUACCUUCUGCCCGGCCUCGACAUCUUAAACCAUUCCUUUGCCGCCAACACCGCCUUCGAAGUCCGCGGCGGUGGCCGCAAACACGCCACCGCCUUUACCGUCGUCACCACUCGCGCGGUGCAGAAGGGCGAGCAGGUGUACGGCUGCUACGGCCGCAUCGGCGCUGCACGUUUUGCCGUCGAGUUUCAGUUUGUGACCAAAGCGGUGCUGCGAAACGACCUAGUGCGUUGCUCGGCCGCGUCGCUUGCUACGGUGGCGACGUUACUGCAAUACUGGAAGGCCGCGGGGGAGACUCCUGGGUGCACCGUGGACUCGUCGGCGAUUACCGCGUACCUGCAGCGUUGCACCGAUGGCGCUGCAUUGGCGGUGGGAGCAGGGGCAAUGGCAUGGAAACCGGCUUUUUUUGGCGGCGACUCUGCGGCGGAUGUCGAGGCGCGUCGUAAGGAGAUGGAGCGGCGAGUCGAGCGGCUGCAGCGCCUGGGUAUCUUGUACGACGAGGGGCUUUACCUUGUGCGGCCAUACGCGACGUGGGAGGCGGAGGAGGCUGCUGAGCCGGCAUCCACCUUUCGCUGGAGUACGCCGGCGGCGCACGAGGAGGAGAUUGCUGAAAACCGCCGCGUGCUGGCUGCCACAGUGUAUCUCCUCACCGCCUCCAAGAGCGUGUACGACGAGGUCUAUCACCGCGUCACCGCCGACUGGGAGCCACCGGAGUCCGCUCAGAUGUCCGCUGCGGUGCGGGACUUUUUGCACAUCCGGAUUGUUGCGGCGCAGUUGCAGCACGAUGCAGCGUGCGGUGUCUUUGGUGACUCCUCCCGCGAUGUGGUGCGCCGCCAGCUCGUGCAAGACGUGCUGGUCUCUGAGAUGGAGACUCUGCGCUACUACGCUAAUUCCUUUGCCUGAGUUGUUCCAAGUCGCACAAAAAGAGGAUGGGGGCUGAGUGGCUUGAAUAGUAAAGUGCGCACGUGUGUGGGGUGCGUACGUGCAUGCACGAAUGCAGGGAACGGAAUCGGGAGCGGAGACGGCUUGCUCAUCACUUCUAUCUUCUCACAGCUUCACCGUGCGCAUCGAGCAAACUCGCUUGUUCUUACGCCGGCCCAUCUCUUACCGUUCUCCUUUUCUUUUGCGAAUGUCUCCAUGACGCGGUACUACGUCUAAGCAGUCGACGUAAAGAAAACG